rnacentral:rRNA from 1 species
AAAUUGAAGAGUUUGAUCAUGGCUCAGAUUGAACGCUGGCGGCAGGCCUAACACAUGCAAGUCGAACGGUAACAGGAAUCAGCUUGCUGAUUCGCUGACGAGUGGCGGACGGGUGAGUAAUGUCUGGGAAACUGCCUGAUGGAGGGGGAUAACUACUGGAAACGGUAGCUAAUACCGCAUAACGUCGCAAGACCAAAGAGGGGGACCUUCGGGCCUCUUGCCAUCGGAUGUGCCCAGAUGGGAUUAGCUAGUAGGUGGGGUAACGGCUCACCUAGGCGACGAUCCCUAGCUGG